GUUUGGUAUUCCAUGCAAAGAAAAAAUUUCCUCCCCAGUCAGGCACUGGUUGUGGUGCAGGUGGGGCAGCGGCAGCACGGCGCUCAGCGCGGGCGCGGCGCCCAGCUGGCUCAGUAACGCCGAGAGCUGCCCGGCCGACAGGCUCCGGUUGCUCCCGAAGACGCGCAGCACGUCCUCAGCGAAGGUCGUCGCCGCCGGGCUGCCCCGCACCGCCACCCCCGAGAGCAUCUCCGCGCCGCAGCGAGUGUGG
rnacentral:lncRNA from 1 species